rnacentral:sRNA from 12 species
GCCGCCCUGAAUGGGCCGAAGGCCUGCGCUCGUGCGUGGGGUACGGACGUAGGCAGGUCGGGGCGGC